rnacentral:ncRNA from 1 species
GACCGACGGGUCGAGCAGGGACGAAAGUCGGGACUAGUGAUCCGGCGGUGGCUUGUGGAAGCGCCGUCGCUCAACGGAUAAAAGGUACCCCGGGGAUAACAGGCUGAUCUUCCCAAGAGUCCAUAUCGACGGGAUGGUCUGGCACCUCGAUGUCGGCUCGUCGCAUCCUGGGGCUGGAGUCGGUCCCAAGGGUUGGCUGUUCGCCAUUAAAGCGGUACGCGAGCUGGGUUUAGAACGUCGUGAGACAGUUCGGUCCUAUCCGCUGUGCGCGUAGGAGUCUUGAGAAGGGCUCGUCCUAGUACGAGACGGACCGGGACGGAC